CCCGUCUACUGGGCAAGCUACCUCACGAUCUGAGGUCCAGUUUCAGGCGCUACAUCCACCCACUCCGCAUUCCUAUCCCCACUCUUCUGGACCUAGCAGAUUGGUUGGAAUACGAGCUCCAGAUCCAGGAGGAUAUAGCACAAUAUCGCUUGAGAAAGGACACUGGAUCUAAGCCCAAAGACUCCAAGAGUACUGUCAAGUCGUCACCUAAGGCUUCAGUCCUCAUGCUGGGGGCUGAACCCAAACCGGUUAGGGAGCCAGCCAGAUCCACUCCUCCAACCAGUCUAGAUGCAAAGAAGUUCUGCCCAUUCUGUGAGAACUACAAGCACACUCUGAAUAAUUGCGCAAAUUUCAAACUGCUCAGCGCCACCCAGAAACGUAACUGGAUUCAGGACAACAACCGAUGUUGGCGAUGCGGCAGAGAACACAGAUCAGCUGAAUGUGAUUUGAAGAUGUGCUGUAAAACAUGCAACAGCAGACACCUGCUUGCUCUGCACGAUGUCAGCGAGAGAAGUUUAGCCAAGACUGACAAAGCUGAGAGAAGGCCUGACCAGGUGAAGUCCAGUGAGAGCAAUCCUUUGUCCGUACCAAGUGCAGACCAAGUGCUAUACAUUGGCAAGCCACCGCAGGGCCAUCGUGUGCUUCUCAAGGUCAGUAAAGUUAUCCUCCGCCAUGGUGACCAAACUCUAGAGACAUAUGCUGUGCUAGACGACGGCUCCGAACGCACCCUGCUCCUCCAACCGGCUGUCCAACAACUGGGACUUGAAGGCCAGCCCGAGGAUUUGCCCCUGCGUACAGUUAGACAGGAGCUGCAGACGCUUCACGGGGCGGCUGUCUCAUUUAGCAUCUCUCCAGCCUGUUCUCCAGCCAUGGUAUACAAUAUCCAAGGAGCCUUUACCGCACCUAAGCUCGGGCUAGGCCAACACACGUAUCCCGUCAAAGCACUGCAGAGCAAAUACAGACAUUUGAAGAAGCUUUCUAUCCCUUCAUUCAAGGACAUUGUCCCGCUACUGCUCAUUGGCUCAGACCACCCUCACUUGGUGACUCCAGUUGAGCCAGUCAUCUUUGGUCCCCCUGGUGCACCGGUUGCUGUCCGCACCCGUCUCGGAUGGACGCUGCAAGGUCCGACCAACAAUCUAAAGCAGUACCUUAUCGAACAACGCUGUCUUUUCACCACCUUCGGGGCUCCUCCAGCUGACAUCUACCAGCAUGUCGAAAGGCUUUGGCAGCUGGACGUCCUCCCAUGGCGCAGCGAAAAGGCCAGUACGAGGUCACGACAGGACAAGGAGGCCCUUGAAUGCUUGGAUAAACAGACGGUGCGAGUACAUGUUAAUGGUGUCCACCGCUAUGCCACUCCUCUUCUCCGCGUGAAGAACUUU
ensembl:lncRNA